GUAGUUAAUGUCAGUGUUUAGUUCAUUUAGUGAAAUGUUUUGAAAAGUGUCCCACGUGGGCCUUUGCUUUCUUUCCCAAGAGACAGCUUGACCCCUGCGAAUUCCCCAAAUGUGGGAAUCUCGACUGCAUAAUUUCUGGUAGUGGGGGACUGCGUUCGCGCUCUCCCCUG